CUGUAAACAGAAGUGAAGAAAUGGGAUGAU
rnacentral:piRNA from 1 species